AUGAUUUGUGAGAUGUUUGAGGAACUAAAAGCACAAUCAUCUGAUGUUGAGGAGAAGGGCUGAGCAGCAGAGAGGCUGUUUCCUGCUUCACUUCUGCAGGAGGAGAACUCAUCUGCUGACUGUUCGACUUUACCAUCUCCAAAGACAUGUUGCUUUACCUCUGGUUACUCUUCUCUCUCUUCAUAGCCCUGGGCUCCAUGAACAGCAUAAAGCCAGAAAGAAGUGAAGAACAUGUUGCAGAGGGCAGAAACAUCAGCCUGACAUGUAAAUAUGAGGGGGCUAUCUACAAUAUCCAGUGGUACCGACAAUACCAGAGAUCCAGACCAGAGUUCCUGCUCUACAUCACAGAGGCAGGAGGGAUCCAUCCCACUGAAUCUGAUUUCUCUGCUCACAUUGACAACACAGAGAAACGAGUUGAUCUGGAGAUCAUCUCAGCUAAAGAGACAGACUCUGCUGUGUACUACUGUGCUCUGAGGCCCACAGUGACAGGAAACACCUACACUCUGUACAAAAACCUUUGGAGCACAGACAACACAAUACUGCACAACAUCCACCAGAGGGAGCCUCUCUCUGUUAAACAUCAAUAGUUUGAUUCACAUCAACAGGUUAACAUGUUUAACUCAAUCAGUUAAUCUGACCUGUUAUCACAGAUUAAACAUAAAAUGUAGUCUCCAUGAAUUUAAAAUAAGUGUCUCUAAUUUUCUGUCAGUCUGUGAUUUCAUGUGGUGUACCACAGGGUUCAAUCCUAGGUCCUCUCACUUUGUCAUUGGAUUCAGUUUAUCUCCAAGCC